rnacentral:rRNA from 1 species
CCUACGGGGGGCAGCAGUGGGGAAUAUUGCGCAAUGGGCGAAAGCCUGACGCAGCGACGCCGCGUGAGGGAUGAAGGUCUUCGGAUCGUAAACCUCUGUCAGUAGGGAAGAACGGUCACUGUGCUAAUCAGCAGUGAAUUGACGGUACCUGCAAAGGAAGCACCGGCUAACUCCGUGCCAGCAGCCGCGGUAGUACGGGGGGUGCGAGCGUUAAUCGGAGUUACUGGGCGUAAAGGGUGCGUAGGCGGCCUGCUAAGUCUGGAGUGAAAGGUACCGGCUCAACCGGUACAGGCUCUGGAAAAUGGCGGGCUAGAGGGCAGGAGAGGGCGGUGGAACUCCAUGUGUAGCGGGAAAAUGCGUAGAUAUCGAGAGGAACACUCGUGGCGAAGGCGGGUUCCUGGACAUUAACUGACGCUGAGGCACGAAGGCCAGGGGAGCGAAAGGGAUUAGAUACCCUUGUAGUC